CCUACGGGAGGCAGCAGUGGGGAAUAUUGGGCAAUGGGCGAAAGCCUGACCCAGCAAUGCCGCGUGAAUGAAGAAGGUCUUAGGAUUGUAAAAUUCUGUCAGAGGGGAAGAAAAAAAUGACGGUAACAUAGGAGGAAGCCCAGGCUAACUCCGGGCCAGCAGCCGAGGUAAUACGUAGGGGGAGAGCGUUGUCCGGAAUUACUGGGCGUAACGAGAGCGUAGGCGGCACUCCAAGUCUCAUGUGAAAGACCCGGGCUUAACUUGGGGGUUGCAUGGGAAACUGUCGAGCUUGAGUACAGUAGAGGCAAGCGGAAUUCCUAGUGUAGCGGUG
rnacentral:rRNA from 1 species